GUUCACAUUUUCAGGUAGGUAGUUAACUUGUUUCGUCAAUUUUUACCUGUAAUUUUUUGCCAGUUCUUCUUUGCUGUUCAUAACAUUCUUUGAUCAAAAAGCAAACUUAGCUAUAAUUUUUUCAAUUGAAUGAUCUUAAGAAAAAUGGGCUGGGUCUAACUCACCCCCGAAAACUAGCUAAAGUAGAGGAGUGCUUAAGGCUUUAUAAGGGUCACAUUACCCUUAUCUCAAACUAAUAUGGGAUAUUAAUAGACCCUCCACCACUCCAAGGACCAAACACCUGGAGCAUGAAACACUUAUGGGAGACCUAUCAUUGGUUGGGGAGGUUUUGAUACUAUCUUAAGAAAAUGGGUUGGGCCUAACUCACACCAAAAGC
rnacentral:misc_RNA from 1 species